GUUCGAGUCAACAUAGGAAUUGAGCUCGACAACUUUUUUCUACAGUUGUUACAUAUUCCUCAAUUCCGUUGGAUUUUAAGGACAUAGGUUUAUUUUUCAGCCCCCUCAUUGACAGCCUGCUGCGCGCCAGUAAUUUUAUGACAGUCGCCUCUCUCUCUCUCUCUCUCUCUCUCUCUCUCUCUCUCUCUCUCUCUCUCUCUCUCUCUCUCUCUCUCUCUCUCUCUCUCUGCCCCUAGAGGCGAAACAGCGGAGUAUUUUGUUCCUGAUGUUGGACUGCGGUAGAUGCAAGGGGAAAGGACUCUAAAUUCUUUCGUUUGUUUUUAACGUAGUUUCUACUGCUCGAUUUCGUUCGAAAUCAGGGAUGCUUCCUACGCUGUGAUUUUUGCUCCGUUCGCCUUCGCCCCCCUCCCGCCUUGCCUCCGGACCCGAAAAUGUGCGUCACACCAACUAUACAGAGGACGCGGGUAUGCCGCAGUCUGGUGUCGGAUGACGACAGUGGGGAUAUAAAUCUACCCCUGCCCAAGGAAUUUAAUCUCGUCACUCCAGUGUUUUUUCACCGUCUGAGUUAUUGAAGCUACCUGUACCUGCCAACACCACCAAUACUUGCCUGCCAGGCUGCCCUUCGCGCAAUCGUGAACCAAUCAAAAGAAACGGGCAGAGUGAUGCACAUCAAAAAAGAUCAUUCCAGCAAUGAACUGUUGAAAAUGGAAAAGGAUACCCCCCCUUCAAUGCUACCUGUUAAUGUAGCCAUUGGAGAAGGCCUUCCGGCCCUGCCUCCAUGCCAAAUGAAGUCUGGUUCCAAGGUCUCUCAAUAAGCCUCAUGGUGGUCAGAAGCACUUCUAACCCUUGGAGAACACCAACCAUGUCCAUGGCAAGGAUUCUAUUUUCUCUACAGGACUAUGAUUGGAUUAUUGUUCUGGUAGGACAUACGAGUCCUCCCCCAUUGGAUACAGUCACACUACAGGCAUCCACGUUGCAGCACUUUGAACAUUAGCAGCCAAGCUGUUAUCUGUAACGUACGUGCCAUCGCUGAUGACAUGCAGCAUGAGCUAUUGCCAAGAGUUUAGUUACGAUGGCUGCCCCAACAUCUCAGUAAACCCAACUUCAUUCUGAAAUACAGCCCUAUUCUUCUUUUGUUGAGCACUUUAUAUUUGUUUGUUGUUUAUUCUGAACUGUGGUGAUCUGUAUCCUAACCUGAAGGACAAUAAACCUGACAUCUUAAAGAA